rnacentral:rRNA from 1 species
UACAGAGGUCUCGAGCGUUGUUCGGAUUUACUGGGCGUAAAGGGCGCGUAGGCGGCGAGGCGUGUCGAGUGUGAAAUCUCCGGGCUCAACCCGGAAAGUGCGCUCGAAACUGCCCCGCUAGAGUACGGGAUGGGGAAUCGGAAUAUAGGGUGUAGCGGUGAAAUGCGUUGAUAUCCUAUAGAACACCGGAGGCGGAGGCGGAUUCCUGGAACGUCACUAACGCUGAGGCGCGAAAGUCGGGGGAGCAAAC